rnacentral:rRNA from 1 species
GUGGGGAAUUUUGGACAAUGGGCGCAAGCCUGAUCCAGCAAUGCCGCGUGGGUGAAGAAGGUCUUCGGAUUGUAAAGCACUUUAAGUUGGGAGGAAGGGCAGUAAGCUAAUACCUUGCUGUUUUGACGUUACCGACAGAAUAAGCACCGGCUAACUUCGUGCCAGCAGCCGCGGUAAUACGAAGGGUGCAAGCGUUAAUCGGAAUUACUGGGCGUAAAGCGCGCGUAGGUGGUUUUGUAAGUUGGAGGUGAAAUCCCCGGGCUCAACCUGGGAACUGCCUCCAAAACUGCAUGACUAGAGUACGGUAGAGGGUAGUGGAAUUUCCUGUGUAGCGGUGAAAUGCGUAGAUAUAGGAAGGAACACCAGUGGCGAAGGCGACUACCUGGACUGAUACUGACACUGAGGUGCGAAAGCGUGGGGAGCAAACAGGAUUAGAUACCCCAGUAGUCC